rnacentral:tRNA from 1 species
GCAUUGGUUGUUCAAUGGUCAAAUUCUUGCCUCCCAUGUGGGAGACCUGGGUUUGAUUCCCAGUCAAUGCA